rnacentral:rRNA from 1 species
GGACGAAAAGGUCCGUGUUACACCACGGAUCCAUGACGGUACCCGCAGAAGAAGCACCGGCUAACUACGUGCCAGCAGCCGCGGUAAUACGUAGGGUGCGGGCGUUAAUCGGAAUUACUGGGCGUAAAGCGUGCGCAGGCGGUCUUUUAAGUCAGAUGUGAAAUCCCCGGGCUUAACCUGGGAACUGCGUUUGAAACUGGAAGGCUAGAGUGUGGCAGAGGGGGGUGGAAUUCCACGUGUAGCAGUGAAAUGCGUAGAGAUGUGGAGGAACACCGAUGGCGAAGGCAGCCCCCUGGGCUAACACUGACGCUCAUGCACGAAAGCGUGGGGAGCAAACAGGAUUAGAUACCCUGGUAGUCCACGCCCUAAACUAUGUCAACUGGUUGUCGGGGAAGCAAUUCCUUGGUAACGAAGCUAACGCGUGAAGUUGACCGCCUGGGGAGUACGGCCGCAAGGUUAAAACUCAAAGGAAUUGACGGGGACCCGCACAAGCGGUGGAUUAUGUGGAUUAAUUCGAUGCAACGCGAAAAACCUUACCUACCCUUGACAUGCCAGGAACCCUCCAGAGAUGGAGGGGUGCCCGAAAGGGAACUUGGACACAGGUGCUGCAUGGCUGUCGU